UACGGGGGGGGCAAGCGUUGUUCGGAAUUACUGGGCGUAAAGGGCUCGUAGGUGGCCAACUAAGUCAGACGUGAAAUCCCUCGGCUCAACCGGGGAACUGCGUGUGAUACUGGCGGGCUUGAAUUCGGGAGAGGGAUGUGGAAUUCCAGGUGUAGCGGUGAAAUGCGUAGAUAUCUGGAGGAACACCGGUGGCGAAGGCGGCAUCCUGGACCGAGAUUGACGCUGAGGCGCGAAAGCUAGGGGAGCAAACGGG
rnacentral:rRNA from 1 species